AUCAGUGGUGCAGUUGGUAGCACUGUUGCUUUGCAGCAAGAAGGUCCUGGGUUCGAUUCCCAGCGGGGGUA